AGCGAACGCUGGCGGCGUGGAUUAGGCAUGCAAGUCGCGCGACGCAGAGGGGCAACCCUUUGACGGAGCGGCGAACGGGUGAGUAACACGUGAACAACCUGUCCUCACGUUCCGGAUAAUUGACCGAAAGGUCUUGUAAUACGGGGGAGGGUGGAGCGAGGGCAUCUUCGCUUCAAGGAACGCGCAAGCAUUUAUGUUGGUGCGGUGCGAGGAGGGGUUCGCGGAUUAUCAGCUAGUAGGUGAGGUAACGGCUCACCUAGGCGACGACGAUUAGCUGGUCUGAGAGGAUGGUCAGCCACAUUGGAACUGAGACACUGUCCAGACUCCUACGGGAGGCUGCAGUCGAGAAUCUUGGGCAAUGCACGAAAGUGUGACCCAGCGACGCCGCGUGGAGGACGAAGGCCCUUGGGUCGUAAACUCCUUUUACGAGAGAAGAAUGAGGCGCAAGCCUUUUGACGGUAUCUCGUGAAUAAGCCACGGCUAACUACGUGCCAGCAGCCGCGGUAAUACGAAGGGGGCUAGCGUUGCUCGGAAUCACUGGGCGUAAAGCGCACGUAGGCGGAUCGCUAAGUCGGGGGUGAAAUCCUGGAGCUCAACUCCAGAACUGCCUUCGAUACUGGCGAUCUUGGAGUCCGGGAGAGGUGAGUGGAACUCCGAGUGUAGAGGUGAAAUUCGUAGAUAUUCGGNNGAACACCAGUGGCGAAGGCGGCUCACUGGCCCGGUACUGACGCUGAGGUGCGAAAGCGUGGGGAGCAAACAGGAUUAGAUACCCUGGUAGUCCACGCCGUAAACGAUGGAUGCUAGCCGUUGGACAGCCUGCUGUUCAGUGGCGCAGCUAACGCAUUAAGCAUCCCGCCUGGGG
rnacentral:rRNA from 1 species